CUACGGGCGGCAGCAGUGGGGAAUCUUGCACAAUGGACGAAAGUCUGAUGCAGCAACGCCGCGUGGGUGAAGAAGGUUUUUGGAUUGUAAAGCCCUUUCGGCUAGAAAGAAGGGUUUGUAGACUAAUACUCUACAGACUUGACGGUACUAGAAGAAGAAGCACCGGCUAACUCCGUGCCAGCAGCCGCGGUAAUACGGAGGGUGCAAGCGUUGUUCGGAUUGAUUGGGCGUAAAGCGCAUGUAGGCGGAUUUGUAAGUCGGAUGUGAAAGCCCAGGGCUUAACCUUGGAACUGCACCCGAAACUGCAAGUCUUGAAUGCUCGAGGGGUUGGUGGAAUUCCUGGUGUAGGAGUGAAAUCCGUAGAUAUCAGGAGGAACACCGGAGGCGAAAGCGGCCAACUGGCGAUGCAUUGACGCUCAGAUGCGAAAGCGUGGGGAGCAAACAGGAUUAGAUACCCCGGUAGUC
rnacentral:rRNA from 1 species